rnacentral:rRNA from 1 species
GACGAACGCUGGCGGCGUGCCUAAUACAUGCAAGUAGAACGCUGAAGCGAGGAGCUUGCUCUUCUUGGAUGAGUUGCGAACGGGUGAGUAACGCGUAGGUAACCUGCCUUGUAGCGGGGGAUAACUAUUGGAAACGAUAGCUAAUACCGCAUAACAAUGGAUGACACAUGUCAUUUAUUUGAAAGGGGCAAUUGCUCCACUACAAGAUGGACCUGCGUUGUAUUAGCUAGUAGGUGAGGUAAUGGCUCACCUAGGCGACGAUACAUAGCCGACCUGAGAGGGUGAUCGGCCAAACUGGGACUGAGACACGGCCCAGACUCCUACGGGAGGCAGCAGUAGGGAAUCUUCGGAAAUGGGGGCAACCCUGACCGAGCAACGCCGCGUGAGUGAAGAAGGGUUUCGGAUCGUAAAGCUCUGUUGUAAGUCAAGAACGGGUGUGAGAGUGGAAAGUUCACACUGUGACGGUAGCUUACCAGAAAGGGACGGCUAACUACGUG